GCGGGAAGGUCCGUGCCCCCUCCACCGGAGAGCACUCCGGGUCCCCCGCCCGCAGGGGCCCUGCGCCAGCUAACGCAGGUGCCGUCGAGUGGUUCCGACUCAUAGCGACCCCAUGCACAACAGAACGAAACACUACCCGGCCCUGAGCCAUCCUCACAAUCGUUGUUAUGCUCGAGCUCAUUGUUGCAGCCGCUGUAUCAGUCAACCUCUUUGAGGGUCUUCCUCUUUUGCGCUGACCCUGAACUCUGCCAAGCAUGAUGUCCUUCUCCAGGGACUGAUCCCUCCUGACAUGUCCAAGGCAUACAGACACCAAUCGUUGUGACUCGGAUGGCAGCUUUUAAGACCCCAGGCACUACACAAUGAACUAGGAGUUAGAACAGAAGCACUAAACAUGUUAUUAAGGCAGUAAACUGAAAUGACCCAUGAAACCAUGGCCCUAAACCUCCAAAGAAACCAAAUCCCAUGAGGUGUUCGGUUGUACAUAAACAGCCUCAGCAGCUACUGUUUUUAUUUUUCUUGUCAUUGUUGUAAAUAUAUCUGUCUUAGUCAUCUAGUGCUGCUGUAACAGAAAUACCACAAGUGGAUGGCUUUAACAAAGACAAAUUUAUUCUCUCACAGUCUAGGAGGCUAGAAGUCUGAAUUCAGGGUGCCAGCUCCAGGGGAAGGUUUUCUUUCCCUGUUGGCUCUGGAAGAAGGUCUUUGUCAUCAAUCUUCUCCAGUCAAGGAGUUUCUCACCACAGGAACCCUAGGUCCAAAGGAUGCGCUAUUCUUCUGACUCUUGUUUCUUGGUGGUAUGAGGUCUCGUGUCUCUCUGCUUGAUUCUGUCUUAUAUGUCUCAAAAGCGAUUGGUUUAAGACACAACCUAAUCUUGUAGAUUGAGCCCUGCCUCAUUGCCAUAACUGCUGCUGAUUCCACCUUAUUAACAUCAUUGAGGUAGGGUUUACAACACAUAGGAAAAUCACAUCAGAUGACAAAAUGGUGGACAGUCACACAAUACUGGAUAUCAUGGCCUAGCCAAGUUGACACAAUUCAAUCCAUGACAUUCCACACUUUGGCUCCCAAAAAUUCAUGUCCUUGCCACAUGUAAAACACAUUUACCCCAUCAUAUCAUAGCAAAAGUCUUAAGCCAACUCGAAGUCCAAAAUCCAAAAAUUCCUCUUUAUCUGUAAAAUCUAGAAUACAGGUUACCUGCUUCCAAAGUACAAUGGUGCUACAAGCUAGACAUUUCCAUUACAGAUGGGAGAAUUUGGAGGAAAAGAAGAAAUAAUAGGCAUGAAGCAAGUCGCAGAACACAUUACAUUAGCACUCAAGGCUUGAAAAUAAUCCUCUGUUCUCUGAGACCAUUUACACAAUGGCCCUGUCCUCCAAACUCUGGACAUUGGCCACACUUUCCAGAUUCUGAAUGGUGGCCCCUCAGCCCUGGGCUUCAUCUCUGCCUUCCAGGCCCACUGGAAUGACAUCUCUGCUCCUUUGGCUUUGAGCGACCCCAUUCUCCUGGUCCGAGUGGUGACUCCACUCUUUGAGACUGAAGCAGCUCUGCUUUCAGUGUUCCUUGUCUCUUCAGCUUCUGCUUCCUGGUUUCUUGGCCUCUCAGUCUCUAGGUCCUCUCCACCUGCAUCUGACCUACUGAGGCAAAUAUUCCAAAGCUCUGCAGCACCGUUAUGAAGUGCUGAAGGCACCCCACUCCACCAGGAAGCCUCCUGCACAAAGGCACUCAGCUCUCUCACUCUGUGGGUUGGCUCCAGCCCUGUCCCUUGCUGGUCCCCUGGUUCUGCUGCUGCCGGGUCUCUGCUGCUGCUUCUCGCUGUCUGUACUGCCUCCGGUGUAACAGCUCCUGAUUUCCGUCUGAGCCCUCACUAGGAUUGCCUUUGAAGCCCCUUAAUUCCACCAACAGUCCCUUCAAGGCAAUCUGGACUUUGACUAUUACGCGCUUUAAAACUCUUCCAGCCUCUAUCCAUUUACAGUUUCGAAACUGCUUCCACAUUUUAGAUAUCUGUUAGAGCAGCACCCCACUCUCGGUACCAAAUUCUGCCUUAGUCGUCUAGGGCUGCUAUAACAGAAAUACCACAACUGGAUGGCUUUAACAAACAGAAAUUUAUCCUCUCACAGUCUAGUUGGCUAGAAGUCUGAAUUCAGGGUGUCAGCUCCAGGGGAAGGCUUUCUCUCUCUGUCGGCUCUGGGGGAAGGUCUUUGUCAUCAAUCUCCCCCAGUCGAGGAUCUUCUCAGUGCAGGGAACCAGGGUUCAAAGGAUCUGCUACUUUCCUAACUCCUGUUUCUUGGUGGUAUGAGGUCCCCCUGUCUCUCUGCUUGCUUCUCUCAUUUAUGCCUCAAAAGAGAUUGAUUUAAUACCCAACCUAAUCUUAUAGAUUGAGUCCUACCUAUUAACAUAACUGCCGCUAAUCCUACCUCAUUAACAUUGUAGAGGUAGGAUUUGCAACACAUAAGACAAUCACAUCAGAUCACAAAAUGGUGGACAAUCACACCGUACUGGAAAUCAUGGCCUAGCCAAGUUGACACACGUUUUGGGGGGGCACAAUUCAAUCCAUGACAAUAUCUAUCACAUGGCUUUUCCAAUUCAGCUUUUUAAAGGUGUAAAACUUAUUGACAGCAAUUACAAUAAUUAGAUGUGCAACCCUACCUUUAAUCAAUGCAAUUUUUCCAUCACCAUUAACGCCUUUUUUCCGCCUCCCUCCCGCCCCUGGUAACCACUAAUAAACUUUGGUCUCUAUACAUUUACCUUUUCUUGUCUUUUUAUAUAAGUGAGGUCAUACAAUAUUUGUUCUUUUGUGAUUGGCUUAUUUCACUCGGCAUCUGUACUGUACCAAGUAUCAAGACUGCAUUUCUCCUCCUGGCUGAGUAGUACUCCAUUGUAUGUAUGUACAACAUUCUGUUGACCCAUUCGUCUGUCGAUGGCAUUUAGGUUGUUUCCACCUUUUGGCUAUUGUGACUAGGGCUGCAAUGAACAUUGAUGUACAAAGUCCCUGCUUUCAAGUCUUUUGAGUAUCUACCUAGGAGUGGAAUUGCUGGGUCGUACGGUAGUUCUCCAUCGCUUGUCUGUCAGUUUGUCUUAUUGUGGUGGCUUGCAUGUUGCUGUGAUGCUGGCAGCUAUGCCACCAGUAUUCCAAAUACCAGCAGGAUCACCCACAGUGGACGGGUUUCAGCUGAGCUUCCAGACUGAGACAGUCUAGGAAGAAGGACCUGCUGGACUGCUUCUGAAAAACUUGGCCAGUGAAAACCUUACAAAUACUAGUGGAACAUUGUCUGAUAUAGUGCCAGAAGAUGAGCCCCUCAGGUUGGAAGGCAAUCAGAAUAUGACUGGGGAACAGCUGCCUCCUCAAAUCGGAGCCCACCUUAACGAUGUGGAUGGAAUAAAGCUUUCGGGACCUUCAUUUGCUGAUGUGUCAUGACUCAAAAUGAGAAGAAACAGCCACAAACAUCCAUUAAUAAUCAGAAUG